UACAGAGGUCUCGAGCGUUAGUCGGAUUUAUUGGGCUUAAAGCGUGCGUAGGCGGAUGUGCAGGCGUCGUGUGAAAGCCCUCGGCUCAACCGGGGAACUGCACGGCGAACCGCAUGUCUUGAGACAAGUAGGGGCGGCCGGAACGAUAGGUGGAGUGGUGAAAUGCGUAGAUAUCAUUUGGAACGCCAAUGGUGAAAACAGCUCGCUGGGGGUUUGCUGACGCUGAGACACGAAAGCCAGGGGAGCGAACGGG
rnacentral:rRNA from 1 species